UUCAAGGGACUACAAGCUUCCAGCCAGAAGGGCAGGGCAGAGCAGUAACUGCAACACUGUAUGAGGAAUCUGUUUAUCUUCCUGUUCCAGAGAGAAACUUUCUCCGCCCAUCCAAAGGCGCAUUUGCAAAGGCAGCUUCUGUUUUUUUCCUGGCAAAUCUACAAUGCAAAUCUAUCGUGACUGAUUGGGAGGGUAGCAUUAUCACAGAAGAUUUGGUGGACAAGUGUAAUCAGGAUCUGCAUUACCAUGGCAGCUUUCUCUGUUACGCCAAUGGGACUGCUCUGAAUUUUAAAAGAUCUGAAUUUGGCUGUGGAUGAGUAAGCAGAUGCAGUAUGCAAAUACUGUGCUUGUGACUCCAACAGCAGGUUGCAGAAAAAGAAUAUCUGAUCAAUCGCCCUGUCCCAGACUAGCCGCAGGAAAUGUUGCUUCUGGUAUGAUGGGGCUUUACAGAUGUCUGUCUCAUCAUUGUGUUUUACUACUCAAAUGUCCUUGAAAUUUUCAAGAUAGAGCUUUAAGAAGCAACACAAAAUGUUUGAUAAAGUGACAUUAUUUUAUACUAUACAGAAUAACUGAGAAAGUGAUGUGAAACAAGUGCCUACAAUAUGUUUAUUUUUUUCUUGAAAGUUUGACUUUUCAGAUUGUAAAACUUCAACCUGCUACCCAUGAAG
rnacentral:lncRNA from 1 species